UUAUGACUUUUAUAUUAAAGAACUUCUGAUAAGAGCUAGACAUGAUUCACUAUUAUAUGACCAUGCAUGUGUCCCCAGACCUUGUUUUCUAAGACCUGUCUGGUCUUAGAAAUGCUGGUGAUAAGU
rnacentral:snoRNA from 1 species